GGUGAUGAUGAGAUCAUUUUGGUAUGUCCCUAAAUAUCCUUUUAAACUCUCUCUAUCUCUCUCCUCAGAGGCUGCUGGAGGAGAUGGAGGGGUUACUGGGCUGCUGGAGGAGAUGGAGGGGUUACUGGGCUGCUGGCGGUGGCUCCUCCUACCCCUGACCGGUGUCCCUGAGCUGUCUGUCCAGGUCAAACGCCUUCAGAAGACUCUCACUGCCUGGGGGGCACUGACCUCAGAGGAGAUGCUCAAGGCUGUGCUGUCUGCCUCUCCUCUGCUCUCCCAGUCCCAGCUGCAGUGGUUUGCCCAGGGAGUGUGUGGAGCAGGGGAAGGAGUGUUUGGACCUUCUGCAGACAACUGCGGUUGUACUGGCAGAGAGGCCCGAGUCCACAAGGACACGUGGUACUCAUCUUGGACAGGAUGGGAGUCUCUCACACUUGCACCCUACACUCAAAUCGACUCUAAUGUGCAAGAUCAACGUACAAAGCGGAAUGAUGCACUUUCUUUGUGUAGAGGAGAGUUGAGGAAAGUCUACCGUGGCAUGAACACAUUGCCUAUGAGUGUGACUGCUGUGAUAACGCCCAGUGAAAUAUUUGUCUUGUCCUAUCUUGCAGUACCUCCAGAAGCUGCUAUGGGAGAGCAUCUCCUGCCUCAGGCCUCGCUCUGUCACCCACAUGCCCUCUCUACACUCACUGCUUGGCCACUGUGCUCUAAGAGAGUCUGACCGGGAAUCUCCUGAAUGGAGGUGUGGAGCCCAAGCAGGUGUUCUACGUGCUCAACCUUGAUGACAACUUGUAGUUCACCAG
rnacentral:lncRNA from 8 species